AUUGAACGCUGGCGGCAGGCUUAACACAUGCAAGUCGAGCGGAGAGAGGUAGCUUGCUACUGAUCUUAGCGGCGGACGGGUGAGUAAUGCUUAGGAAUCUGCCUAUUAGUGGGGGACAACAUUUCGAAAGGAAUGCUAAUACCGCAUACGUCCUACGGGAGAAAGCAGGGGAUCUUCGGACCUUGCGCUAAUAGAUGAGCCUAAGUCGGAUUAGCUAGUUGGUGCGGGUAAAGGCCUACCAAGGCGACGAUCUGUAGCGGGUCUGAGAGGAUGAUCCGCGACGAUGGGACUGUGACACGGCCCAGACUCCUACGGGAGGCAGCAGUGGGGAAUAUUGGACAAUGGGCGCAAGCCUGAUCCAGCCAUGCCGCGUGUGUGAAGAAGGCCUUAUGGUUGUAAAGCACCUUAAGCGAGGAGGAGGCUACUUUAGUUAAUACCUAGAGAUAGUGGACGUUACUCGCAGAAUAAGCACCGGCUAACUCUGUGCCAGCCGCCGCAGUAAAAC
rnacentral:rRNA from 1 species